rnacentral:rRNA from 1 species
UACAGGGGGUGCAAACGUUGCUCGGAAUCAUUGGGCGUAGAGCGCACGUAGGCGGUCUGUUAUGUCGGAUGUGAAAGCCCUUGGCUCAACUGAGGAAGUGCAUCCGAAACUGGCAGGCUAGAGUACUAAAGAGGAUCGCGGAAUUCCCGGUGUAGAGGUGAAAUUCGUAGAUAUCGGGAGGAACACCGGUGGCGAAGGCGGCGAUCUGGGUAGAUACUGACGCUGAGGUGCGAAAGCCAGGGGAGCAAACGGG